UUAGUUUUCCUAAACAUAUAAAGAUAAAUUUAAGUUAAAGAGUUUAGCCAUACAUAAGGUAAAGAAUUCAGUCAAAACUUCAGAAAAGGGCAGGUGGUACUUAAACCUAUUUAUAUUGUAGAAUGUGAGUAUGCC